GCGGCGUCGCGGAGCUCGGGCCGGUGGAAGGUUUACCUGCUAGGCUCGUCCCACCUGUGUGGAGCUCCCAUCGCCCUCCAGCGUUGCGCAGCCUGAAGGGACAGGACGGACAAGCGGGUGCCUCCUUCUAAUUCAUCUUCACCAUUGUGGUUGUCAAUAUGGCAUGCAGAAUUAUCCCUCUUUCCAGCUUCUGGAGUCUACCUGGAUUCCUGGGCUCAUGGCCCCUUCCUCCAUCUUCAAACCAGCAAUGGAAAUGGAAAUGAAAGCAAAAUGGAAGGACGUGAGGUCCUUAUCCUUGGAGAUCCUAUGGAGUCUCCACAGACAUUCCUUGAAGAAAUCAGAUGGAGCUGAGCCUGACACUCUAACCGGUUCUCUGGGUGUACUGCAAAGGUCUAAUAAAAGGCACCUUUGCCCGGUUGCUUCAAUUCUAGGAAGCUGUUCAAUGUUUGACUAUAUUUCUCCAUACUCAUUUGAAAACAGUUCAUCAGAGACUGGAUCUCACCAUGUAGCUCAGGCUGAUAUUGACCUCCUGGCCUUAAGUAAUCCUCCCACCUUGGCCUCCCGAAGUACUAGGAUUGCAGAUUGGAACGACCUGGAGCAGCCAGCAGAGUGACAAAUGAGGAAGAGGACAGAAUCUAGCUGAAGAAGCUCUGGAAGAUACCAUUUGAAGUCUUGAGUGCUUGAACUCACAAAGAAAGCACAUGAGUACACACUAGCACUUGAGCUCUUCAUUUUAAACAGAAUAAAGAAUGUACUGCUAUUAUUGUCAUUUUACAGAUAGGGAAAUUCAGACUCACCAGGGCUACUCAGAUACAAAGAAAAUGAGCCAGAAUUUCAAGCAAGCCUGAGCUUAGAAUCUACACUAUUUUUUUUUUUUUUUUUGAGACAUGGUCUUACUUUGUCACCCAGGCUGGAGUUCAGUGGUAUUAGGUUGGCACAAAAGUAAUUGUGGUCUCUGCCACUUAAAACUAGAGCCCGAAACUGCAAUUACUUUUGCACCAACCUAAUGCACUUACCAGAGCUCACUUACGCCUUGACCUCCUGGGCUCAAGUGAUUCUCCCACCUCAGCCUCCCAAGUGGCUGGGAAUGUGGGCAUGCACCACCCUGCCCGGCUAGCUUUUCUUUCUUUUUUUUUUGUGGAGACAGGAUUUUGCCAUGUUGUCCCGGCUGGUCUUUAACUCCUGAGCUCAAACUAUCCUUCUGCCCUGGCCUCCCAAAGUUCUGGGAUUACAGGCAUGAGCCACUGUGCCCGGCCCAGAACCUAUGCUCCUAACUGCCACACCAAUUGACCUCUAUUCAGCCAUUUUUAUUUCUAUAGCACUUGGUAUAAUUUCACUUUGCACACAGUAUCUAUAGAUAAUCAUUCCAGGGCAUGUAAUCGUCAUAAGAUUAUUUAUGUUAUUGCAUGUGUAUUACUGCAUGUAAUCUUCAUGUGUUAUUGCCUCUAACAAGUUAUGUAUUUCCAUGUAGUCUUCAUAACUGUGUAUAGAAGACCAUUUUAGAGAUGGAAAACUGAGACUCAGAAGUGGUAAUUGUCCUACUGGUCAGAGAUUUAGCCAGGGUUUGGAUUGUGGAAUGCAGAGGACCACUUACUUUUCACUAGACCAUAAAUGCUCCUCACCACUGAGGCAUGUCAAAUGCCAGAUAUCUCCAGGAACCUUAGGCUACGUCUCCAUUGUUUUUGCUUUUUCCCCCCUUAGACACAGCUUGGCAAAGAACAAAUGAUCCCAAACACCAAACAGCACACUUGGAAACAUUUAACCCGCAUACUUUCAGACUUUCUGGCAUGGACCAACCUCUUGUCUUACCUUUGUUCCUGGCCAGAAAGAAAUGGCAUGAAAAGAUGGACAGUUUUUAUAACCUCUUUGAGCUCUAAACCAUGUUUCCUGUGCACUUAGGAGAUCUUAAUAGAAACCAAGUACUUCUUUUAGGCAUCUAUACUCUUAAUGCCGUAAGUCAAGUCAAGUACCCAGGUGGUUAAGAUAACUGUACCAACAGAAACAUUUUUAAAAAAUAUCCUAACACAACAUGAAGUGACCAUCGCGAAUUCAAAGAAGCAGGCAUAUUUCUUAAAGGUUGAAAAGAGGUGAGUCUUUCACAAGAUUCUAGCUCAAGGCCAUAUUUGCACAAGUAUAGUCAUUCCUCUAGCAAGGUUUUGUUUAUCUGGCCAUUAAAAAAAAUUAAAACAACUUUUACUUUCGGCUGUUUGAACAAGAACUGUUUUUCCAGCUGUGCAGUCUAAGGAGGAUACAAGAGGCCUGGUUUGGUUAUAUUUUUUCCAGAAUAAGAAAGUUUCCUACACAAUUCUGCUUGGGCUAAACUGCAUACAGAGCAGUUUAUUUAUACUGUUUUAUCGCACACCUGUUUGGAUAUGGGCUAUUUUCUGGUAUUUAAACAUACCGUUUCUUGCCAAUUGCUUUAUCUUCAGAGUCCUAUGGUUUGGCUGCAAAUGUUUGUUAUUAACUCAGAAAGAAACACCAAUUGCUCUAUGAACAUUAUUAGUGAGGACUAAGAUAACUUAAUUGUUACUUACUUCAAACAUGUUAUCACUGAAGAACUUUAUCCCAGAAAUCCAUUCAAAAUAAGGUAGAGGCCAUUUCACUAUACUUAAAGGGAAAAAAGGAGUUAACAAAGCCUUUUUGGAAUACAAUCUUUAAUGAAACACUGUUUUUCUAAAAAAAGCCACCUGCUUAUUUUGA
rnacentral:lncRNA from 10 species